UACAGAGGGGGCAAGCGUUAUUCGGAAUUAUUGGGCGUAAAGGGCGCGUAGGCGGCUUGACAAGUGGAAGGUGAAAUCCCUCGGCUUAACCGAGGAACUGCCUUCCAGACUGUCUGGCUUGAGACCGGGAGAGGUGAGUGGAAUUCCCAGUGUAGCGGUGAAAUGCGUAGAUAUUGGGAGGAACACCCGUGGCUAAGGCGGCUCUCUAGUACGUGACUGACGCUGAGACGCGAAGGCGUGGGGAGCGAACGGG
rnacentral:rRNA from 1 species